UCUUCGUGACAUUAAGGACUGCUACAGUUCCAGUGAAAUGAUCUGAAGUUGCAGUCUUAGUUUGCUGUCACUUGGCUUGGAGCCACACAGAUCAUCUAACGCUCACUGGAAGGUAUUCGCAUCUUUUAACAGGAAAAGAAAAAGAAAAAAAAAAGCGAAUGCGAGGAGUUUGACAGGAUAAAAUCAUAUUAAGAUACACAUUUUCACUUGUCAUUUACAGUCAUUUUUCUAGCUCAAGGAGACAUCCAGCUUCACCAUUUCUUUCUUUUUUUUAAUUAUUGUCAUUAUCAGUUUUGAGGUCACAGAGCGAUAUAAUGACAAACUCACCAGGUGUCCUCUGUCAAACAACCUCGGAAGUCCACAUAUCGCAGUUCGCAAGGCCGAACAAAAUGUCUGCCUUUGCUAACAAGAUCGUUAAAUUUAAGUUACUACAAAAAGCACAGUGUCCGUCCCGGUCUUUCAUUUUGAUUUUUUCCCCCCCCUCCCAGGGCAAUGCAAGUGCCGUGUGCAUUUGUUGACACUACCGACUCUGCUGCCUCAAACCUGGCAGCUUCUGCGCCUCCCGCUCAAAACCGGUCAAUGUAGAAAAAACAAUAUCCGAUACAGCUCAACUUUCACCAAUAACACUGAGGUUAACUAUCAUCUUGUUGUGUCAAAAAAAAGGGGGAAAAAAUUCUGUGUAUUUUUUUUUUUUAAGUGGUCUCCAUCACCCUUUGGAUAAAAUAAUCCACUGUAUGAGAGCAUUUUCCCUCUACCGUUACAGCGCAGCAAAGUCAGAAAUCCCUCUCUGUGAGGUAGCACGCUAAGCUAGCCUGCUAACCGCUCGGAAUAGUAUAGGCUGCCAACACUGGCCAAACAGCUAACGUCUCCCAGCCACGGUCGGUCUCCCUCCUGUUUUCCACGCAUUUCCUCUCCUUAAAUCCGCUCGAAUUACCAGAAUAAGACCAUACGCUCACGUCUGUGGCUGUAAAUACCUGUGUUCCAGCUGAAAUAAAGGCUUUUCUUCUCUAAAAACGCAGUUUGGGUUUUAACCACUUGGCUUCUUCUCGCCCCCCCCACCUCUCUCCGUCUCAGCGACAGCUCUCUAUAUUCGCAGCAGCAUCCUCUUCCCGCAGCUGUUGAAGCGAUCGCUGCUCACUCGAAAAUGGCGCCGAAAGAUACACUGCUCAUUCAAAUUCGAUAGAGCCUCCCAUUCUCCCUAUUGGCUGGAUGCGAAGCGGAUUCGGCGCAGCUGAUUGGUCGCUGAAAAUGCACUCUGUGCUGAUGUCACAGCUUUCCGCAGUGGUAGGCUGAAAGAGACAGCUUUAACUCUUUGUGUCCUAGGCUGGCUAUUUGCAGCAAAAAAUGUAUAGGGAAUCACGUUAAACUUUUUAAAAAGCAAAAUGUUGUUUCAAAACGAAUGCAACAACAUCUGAGUUUAUUAAAAAAUUACAACUGAAAGGCUGGAAAAGUCUUAAACUGCAAUUAAAGCAACAGAAAAGACCCUAUUAGGACACGUCAAGUCAUGAACAGGCCAGACUACUGCAUUUGUUCUAGAUGUAUCAACAUUGCACCAAAUGCUUGACAUAAUGGAACAUCAAGUGCUGUACUCUGUCAAGUAUCUUAGCACCUAAAUCUCAUCUUGUUUGUAUAGUGAGCUUGUUGAAAGUCUUUGGUGUCAACUGAGUGACCCACAUCAAAACAACUAAGUUCUAUUUAUCCUCAGGGUUACACUACUCUGCACUUUACCAGGAAGACACAAAUUAGUCAUCUGCCUGCAAUAACCCUUGAGUUCCACUCAAGGGUUAUUCGUACCUUAUAUUUGUUUUGCAAGUGUGUGGAAGAAGUUUUCAGAAUAUGUAAACAUAAAAAAGCUACAUUGAACUAAUACAUAUAACCAACAUACACUAUUUAGGACUAUUUUAGAACACUUAAAGUUGGGUUAUGUUAAAAGUCAUUAAGCUGUAUCAUACCUGCUAUAAAUAACUUUUACACUAGCUAAAACUUCUGCAAGCAUUAGUUUGGCUUUUAGGUUCUAUAAAUAUCAGUGGUUUCCAUCAUUAUUUUUAUUAUUUAUAUUAUAGUUGAAUCAUUACAUUUCCACUUAGUGUAAUGUUACGACAUAUCUUUUAAUUUAAUCACAGUUUUGUGUUUAUGUUUUAAUUCUCAAGCACCUUUAGGCAUGCAGUUUUGCUAUGAACUUGGAUGUUCCCUGCAUUUAUCCCUGAUGAAUAAACAAAAUAUACCCAAAUUGGUGUCUUCAUUUAGCAUAAAUCCAGAAUAGAAAUAAAUCCAAAUAGAAGCAAGAUUGAGAUUGGCCAGAAUAUAAGUGAACUUAAAACAAUGCAAUGUCAAAUACUUUGCAUUGUUUUAGCAAUGCAAUGCAUCAUUGCAUUGCAGUGCAAUCAUGUUGAUGCUAUAGGAUAGCUAUUUAUCCUAAUAGUUAUUUAUCCUAAAUGCUAUUAGGAUAAAUAGUGUAACCCACAUAAAGUGGGGAUAGCCUUUUGGGAAAUAGAGAUUGGGUAGGCGGGGUAGUCUGCCUGGCCAAUGGGAAGUUUGAUUCCCAUGAAUGUUUAGACCAAUCAGAGAGCGGAAUGCCACAGAGGCUCCACCUUCUUUCCCGUGUUGGCAGCGUUGAUUGUGAGCGGGAGAUCUGACCCUGAUCAGACAGCUGAGCCAUAAACCACUAAGAUCAGUUGGAACUGUUGCACUUUCUGGCAGUUGAUUGGCAGUUGUUUUCAGUUCAACUGAAGUGCCCUCCGUGUCUGGAAUGAGAGUCCCUGUCUAGUUGUUUUGAACGUGCCGCACUAAGAUCGAUCAGGUUUUUUUUUGUUGUUGUGUUGUUUUUGUUUUUUUUGCUUUUUCUUCUCUUCUCCUGGAUUGUUCCUGGAGUGGAUUCCCCUACUGACUUUGAUGGCGAGCCUUCCCACCUGGACUUAGAAAGAUCUGGAUUUCCUCCCAUGUUGAGUGAGACCUGAACCAGGAUUUAAUUUGAUUCAUUUGUCAUCUAAAAGAGAUUAAAGCGCAAACUACCAGGGUGCACCCAAUAGAUUUAAAUUUGAUAUUUAGCACUUGGCCAAGUAUUGUUGUUUUAUUUCAUGUAUUUUAUUGUGUGUAAUUUUAUUUUCUUAAUUGUAUGUCUUGUCCACUUGUGAGUUUAUGAUUCAUGUUACUAAAGCUAAUUGUUUUUUAAAUUCACUCAACUGUGUAUGUGUGUCAUUUAAACACCCCUCGUGCUCUGACAGCCGAACCUAUUGGCCCAUCUACCUAAAACAUAUUGUACCCUUCUCAACUGUGUUACAAUAGCAUUCAUCCUAAUUCUAUUUUAUAAAAAUUUUUA